rnacentral:rRNA from 1 species
UGCAGUCGAGCGGAACGAGAAGUAGCUUGCUACUUCGGCGUCGAGCGGCGGACGGGUGAGUAAUGCCUAGGAAAUUGCCUUGAUGUGGGGGAUAACUAUUGGAAACGAUAGCUAAUACCGCAUAACGCCUACGGGCCAAAGAGGGGGAUCUUCGGACCUCUCGCGUCAAGAUAUGCCUAGGUGGGAUUAGCUAGUUGGUGAGGUAAUGGCUCACCAAGGCAACGAUCCCUAGCUGGUCUGAGAGGAUGAUCAGCCACACUGGAACUGAGACACGGUCCAGACUCCUACGGGAGGCAGCAGUGGGGAAUAUUGCACAAUGGGCGCAAGCCUGAUGCAGCCAUGCCGCGUGUAUGAAGAAGGCCUUCGGGUUGUAAAGUACUUUCAGUCGUGAGGAAGGUUCAUACGUUAAUAGCGUAUGGAUUUGACGUUAGCGACAGAAGAAGCACCGGCUAACUCCGUGCCAGCAGCCGCGGUAAUACGGAGGGUGCGAGCGUUAAUCGGAAUUACUGGGCGUAAAGCGCAUGCAGGUGGUUCGUUAAG